UUGAAAGAAAAACCCUAGUCCCUCAUUUCCCCCCAAUUCCCAGCCCAAUCGUCUUCUCAGUUGUCCCUCAUUCUCUCUCUCUGACUCUCGGCUUUGCUCAGCAACGCCGUUCUCACGUCGGUCUUCAACAUCACCUUAUCACCGACGGCGUAAAAUCUCGUCACUAACGCGAAAACUCAAGGUGAAUCGAUCGAUUUGUUGGAUAAGGAGCUUUUCUGUAUCGAGGAAAAAGAUUUUUUGAUCGAGUUUAUUCUCUUGUGAAGUGUUUCUCUUCCCUUACUCCUGCAGCGGCGGCAGUGGUGAUGGGGAUGGUGAAGUUUAUUCACUCUUUUCAUUUCGAAAUUUCAUUUUUGUUGGGUAUGAUUUUAUGAUGUUCUGAAAUAAGGAAUUUGAUGAACUAAUGUGGCUUGAAAGUUGUUUUUAAUCUCAUCAUGAAAAGCGAAAUAACUAAAUUUUUUUUUGUUACAUUGGCUUCUAAUCUGUUGGUUUUUUUUUUUUUUAUCAAUGAAUGCAUCUUUUUGUUAAGUAUUCAAGAAUUGUAUUUACAAAUGAUACUGGGGGAGUGCCGCCAUGUACAAAAUGAAGGCAUAACUAUCAUGCCCUUAGUUUACGAUGUAUAACUAGUAACUAUUUCUCUGUACACAAAACGAAUGCAUGCUAUUUCUACAGCACUUGCUCAGACUUUACAAAACGACUUGUCUUCUAGAAAUCCUGUGUUGGAAUUUAAAAAAUAAACCAUAUAUACUGAGUAUUAAUUGGAUACUACUACAUGUUAGCUUAGUUAUAUGAUGCAUUGACUGAAAUUUUUUUGUACUUAUGCGUGCUUAUCAUUAUCCUUAUCAUUAUACAAUAACUCUUGAUUGAAUAGCUGGAUGGAAGUGCGUGAAAUGUCUCUGUGCUUCUGUAAAUGGAAAGUAGACAGAUUAGUCGGCCCAGGUGCAGUAAUAUUAAAUUCUGGAUCAAAAACAUUGAUGCCCGAAACCACCCUAUAUAGUCUUGGAAGAGUGUAUGCUGCAUGGCUUUCAUACUAGCCAGGUCUAGCUUUGCUGCAUAAUGACAAACUCCAUAUUGGUAUUUGAUAAAAUUGCUUUAUGCUUUUUAGAAUGCUGAUCAAAUUCUACAUUAGAAAUUUCAAUACUAAAUGGAGAAUGAUUUAUGUCUGACCUUCCUGUAAUUUCUUGAUAUGUGCUUGUGAUGAUGAAAUAUGCCGAUAUCUGCUGUGAACUGACAUGAAAAAUGGUACUUCAUAUCCUUCUGUCUCCAGCUGUCAUCUAAAUCUUCAUACUUUGUCUUUUCUAAGGCAUGUGCUAUUGUGGCCUAUCAAGACAAAAGGUUAACUUCAGAAUAGAGACAUACUUUAUUCUUACUAUGGUUGUUGAUUUCUGAAAUUAUGUCACCAGUGUUACUCUAAUCUUGUUUGCCAUGAGUGAUGCAACUAGAUUUCCGUCUGUAUAAUUUCCAAUUAUAAUGUCCGGCUUUCCUUCCAUAAGCUCAAGGAUUUUGGCUGUGGCGUCCUGGUGUCAUAUAAAAAAGAGUUAUGAUGAACUAGAGUAAAUAUAAUGAUCCUAAAAGCUAGAAAGUCUAUUAGUAAUUCAAUUAAUACAUGCCCUGGUAAACCUCUCAAGGUAUGGAUAUAUAUCAAAUCGAGAGACCCACUGGCGGAGGAUCCCAUUUUCUAUCUUAAAAGGAACGCGUAAAAUGUUGGAGUACUUGGUUCCCUCAAUUGAUUCCACUUCUUGAUUGCACUUGGUUCCUUGAGAAUAUGGAAUUAGCCUGGUAACCUAUAUACACAACACCAAUCAGCUGUAGUUUAAUGGCUUUAUAAAUUGAGAUGAAAUGAUGAUAUCAAUCUAUUGUGUACCCACCACUAGAAUUUGGGGCUUUAUAUUAAGCCCUUGAUUCUUGUAUCUGAUGAGUAAUUCCUCUUCUAGUGCUCUGACUUGAUCUAGAACAUAAACCACCUACAACAGCAUAAUAAUAUGAUCACAUUUCAUGUACUUGUCUUCUUUUGCAGGCUGUUAUAACUAGUCACUACCAAAUAUAUAACUGUCCCCAGUAUCUGGCAAGCUAAGAUCAUUUGCUUGACCAAAGUAACCGUGUAUAGAUAAUAUCACAACGCUGAAUAUUGUUGGAAGCCUGCCAAAGAAUUUCUCCACGCUCACUGGGUCUGGUGCCUGCAGCACCUCAAAGAGAGAAUGCAUAAACUCUUUAACUCUUGCUGAGAGGCGUGGAAUAGAAACGAAUCUUUAUGCUCAAUUCAAGUCUGACUCCAUCAAGAUUGGGAUGGUUUUUACCUUGAUUUAUGUUUUUGUCUGUGUCUUUAUUUUUGAAAAAUGCUACUUGCAGAGAAUAUAUGUACUCAUUUUUUGUGAUGUGAAUAUUAUUCAGGUUAAGCAUCCAGAAGUUGCUUAGUUUCUAGGAGGUCAGCUACUACAUUUUUUGUGUUGUGAAGGCUGAGAAGAUUACAACACUGAUUAGGGCCGCCAACAUUGAAUGCGAGUUAUACUGGCCAAGCUUGUUUGCCAAGCUCCUUGAAAAGAAGAGCAUUGAGGACCUUAUCAUGAAUGUUGGUGCUGGUGGCGGUGUUAUUACUUUUAGUAUUAAACUAAUAUUUUCUUCCUCAUACUACCGGCUAAGCCAAUUUUUG